UUGGUGAGCCAGGACUCAGAGUCAGCUCUUGCCUACAUGUAGGAUCCAGGCUCAGCUGAGUCAGGCUGGGAGACAAGGUCAUCUCCUGCAGGGUUGCAGGUGGCUCAGUGCCAGGCUGGGGAUUAGGAGCACAGUCUCCAGACAGUGGUAUCUCUUCAGACCACAAGGAUGCUCCUCCUGUAGACAACAGCCAUGCUAGGCUGUGACAGGAAGGAGGACAGUGUUGGGGCAGGGAGGGGCUGACAGAGUGCAAGGGGAGCCAUGCAUCCUGGACCUGGAAUCCUGGCCAGCCAUUGGAGGAGGAGAUGCUCAGUGACCAAAGACAGCAGGCCUCGCCCCACCAUGGCAUCUGGGCACCCUUCCACCCCAGCAUUCUCCUCCACCAUGUGAACGGACACUGCCUUCCCUGAACUACCCCCCCAUCCCCCUUCCCUCCAUUCUCUGCCAUCGCCAGCCAGAGGAAUAAGGGAUCACUUUCCUACCUGACUUGACAUCAAUUUGG